GAUGAACGCUGGCGGCGUGCCUAAUACAUGCAAGUCGAGCGAACAGACGAGGAGCUUGCUCCUCUGACGUUAGCGGCGGACGGGUGAGUAACACGUGGAUAACCUACCUAUAAGACUGGGAUAACUUCGGGAAACCGGAGCUAAUACCGGAUAAUAUAUUGAACCGCAUGGUUCAAUAGUGAAAGACGGUUUUGCUGUCACUUAUAGAUGGAUCCGCGCCGCAUUAGCUAGUUGGUAAGGUAACGGCUUACCAAGGCGACGAUGCGUAGCCGACCUGAGAGGGUGAUCGGCCACACUGGAGCUGAGACACGGUCCAGACUCCUACGGGAGGCAGCAGUAGGGAAUCUUACGCAAUGGGCGAAAGCCUGACGGAGCAACGCCGCGUGAGAGAUGAAGGUCUUCGGAUCGUAAAACUCGGUUAUUAGGGAAGAACAAAUGUGUAAGUAACUAUGCACGUCUUGACGGUACCUAAUCAGAAAGCAACGGCUAACUACGUG
rnacentral:rRNA from 1 species